UACGUACAUGUAUGUAAAUCUGUGAUAUAUGCAUAUAUCAAAUGUUUUAAAAGUAUAUAUAAUGUAUGUAUAACAUGCAUAUACUCACAUAUAAACACACAUACACAUAU
rnacentral:pre_miRNA from 1 species